UUGUGUAUAAAAAUGGACCAGGUGUGAG
rnacentral:piRNA from 1 species